rnacentral:rRNA from 1 species
UACGAAGGGGGCUAGCGUUGCUCGGAAUCACUGGGCGUAAAGGGCGCGUAGGCGGGCUCUUAAGUCAGGGGUGAAAGCCCAAGGCUCAACCUUGGAAUUGCCUUUGAUACUGAGGCCUUGAGACCGGAAGAGGUCGGCGGAACUGCGAGUGUAGAGGUGAAAAUUCGUAGAUAUUCGCAAGAACACCAGUGGCGAAGGCGGACCGACUGG